rnacentral:rRNA from 1 species
AACGAACGUUGGCGGCGUGGAUUAGGCAUGCAAGUCGUACGCGAAAGAGGGGGCAACUCCUCGAGUAAAGUGGCGAACGGGUGAGUAACGCGUAGGAAACCUGCCUUCGAGAUGGGGAUAACACUCCUAACGGGGUGCUAAUACCGAAUGACACUGCGGGAUCGCAUGGUUCUGCAGUCAAAGGUGGCCUCUGCUUGCAAGCUACCACUCAAAGAUGGUCCUGCGUCCCAUAGCUAGUUGGCGGGGUAACGGCCCGACCAAGGCGACGAUGGGUAGCCGAUCUGAGAGGAUGACCGGCCACACUGGGACUGAGAUACGGGCCCAGACUCCUACGGGAGGCAGCAGUCGAGAGGCUUCGGCAA